AUGUUCUCAGACACCAGAGCGCCUGGGGAGCACAGAGGCUUUCAGCACAGCAACCCUCAUCUCAACCUCUGGCUCCACAAUAGAUUCAGGGCCCAUCACAGUGACAUGGGACUCAAUGGGCAGCGCAGGCGGACUGAUGCCAACCUUACCUAUCCCAACAGAGCCAAAGAGGUAGGCUUUAAAUCACAAGAGGUUAUCAACAAUAUACAUGGGAAGGAAAGGAUGGGUCCCCAUUUGAAUGGACUGGGAUUGGAGGAGCUAGAUUUAAGAAGCCAAGUUGGCAGUCCUUCCAGGUGGAGCCAGGUCCCGUCUCCAGAGCCAGGCCUGAGACACAGCGCAUCUGUCAGGAAACACUACACAGAACGCUCCUUUGUUUGGAACCACCGCCAGACGUUACCACACCCCUCAGUCAGGAACUACGUUACGGCCCCCGCUCCACCAACACAGUUCAAAGGUCAAGACGGCUGUAAAGUGCCUGUUUGUUUGGAGGACCAGCUUUGGGGUUACCCCAGACAGACCUGUCAGAGAAACCUUCAUAAAUCCAGCUGGGUGGAUUCAACCACAGCCACACAGGGCUUACCCAGACACCAGAGUUUCGGUUCUACCUUGAGUUCCACCCCCAAAAAAGUCAGAAACAUCCAGAGAGACUUGACUAAACCAGUAGGUGGACCAGAGACCAGAAGAGACCAGAAAUACUUGACUAAACCUGUUGAGGGUUACAAUGGACCCAGCUCUCUGCAUGAGGUCAUAUUCUCUACAGAGGUUCCUCAGAGAAAUAUGGGAGGUCCCACUCUCCGACCCCAGCAGAGCCCCAGUAAGCCCUGUCCCACCCCAGAGGAUGUCCAGACCAGGCCCGCCAGCGGCCACCAUGGCUCCAGGAGAGGGCCAGGGCUGACUGGGUCGAAGAGGAGCCACCGGAAGGUGGUCCGGGAUCAGAUCCGGAGAGUGUUGGAGAACCUGGAGGAGGUUCUAGGAGGCCUGAAGGACAUCCAUCAGGAGAUGAAGGAGGUGGUGCAGCAGAUUGAGCUGCUGACCUCGUCCAUUGACCUGAGUGAAGGGGAAGCCAGCCCCAGCCUGCCCAGCGACAGUAGCUCCACCUCCAGUGGAGUCACGAUGGGCAGUAGCCAUCAGAGGCCCAGAGGCCCAGGGGGUGAGGAGGCCAGGCAGGGGGACGCAGCUCUGUCCUCCCUCAUCAGGACUAACUCACCCCAGCGUCACAACCCUGCCUCCAGCCCGGUCCGCCUUCCCCACCAACUUGCUCCCAGGCCUCACAGGAGUAACCCUGUUCGACCUCCCACCUCUGGUCUGUCCCCCAUCAGUACCAACCCACCUCACCUCACCCUCACCCAUGAUCCCUCAGUCAAGAGCAAGAGUUUACAUUACCCCCUCAACCAUGCCUCUAACUCUGCUCUCUUUCAUAUCCUUGGACUUCCCCCCCAUGAAAUAAGUUCCCCUCCUCACCCCUCUGCUCUCGGUCCUUCUGUCACCUUAGAAACCCAAACAGGGUCACCCAUGAGGUCACCUCUCCCUGUCAGCCCACCCAGAGCCCGUAAGACCCAGACCAUGCUGGAGGGAGUGAGGACAACAUCUGCUAGAUCGCUGGGGCUAACGCAGGGCCAGACAGUCCCACACGGCCCAGGGAGAGUUCCAGGGCCCAAGGGCCGCAAGCCGCCUCCUUACCCGCACGAUGGGCACUUUGAUCGGGGGGCAAGUAAAGGCAAGGACCCCAAGAAGGCUCCCCCGUAUCCUGUGAAGAGAAGACUGCUCUCGACCACGGUGUGAGAGGGAGGUGGUUGGAUUAAUGGAGCAACUACCACAGAGCUGAGGGAGCAGAGGGUGAUUUAAGGCUCGCCAACUUGAGCAGAGCCCACGUUUCCAAGGUGAUGAGAGGUGUCUCGGGGUAGGUAUAUGUCAGCAGAGUUCUGCUGCAUUUGUCCUGACACCCUUUCCACCUUUCUGGCUUGGCUCUGACCAAGGAUAAGAGACAGGAUAAGAGACAGCAACACCUGGCUCGGCGCACUUGUAACUACUAGGGCCCGAUGCAGAUGCCCACUUAGCAGAAUGAUGACACAACCAAAUAGGAAGUGAGAGCAUCUCUUUGGCGUACCAUGUCUCUUGGCUGACUUGGUCACCCAGUGCUUGGAAGUGUGUCUGGGGGAGAUAGGGGAGAGGGGGACAGAGACAGUGGGGCAGCUGGCCAUUAGUCCUACCCUUCAAAGGGCCCUUGGUGGUGAUUCCUAACCUAACCCUCCUCAUCCACAAGCUCCAUCUGUUCCCUAUAAAUGUCAAUCAGGAAAUACAGAGGAAGAGAGAGAGAGAGAUGGGGGAACGCAGUCCAAACUGGCCGAGAGCAUUCAAAAGAGAGAAAUGAUGACGCACUCAUCGGGUCGUAUCAUGGUGCCCAUAGUUCAGAAUCAAUCUGCCUGUAUCACAGUGGUUGUAACGUGCAUGUUGUAGAUAAUUUGUAUUUUUAGUUAAUUUGAUGCCAUCUUGUGGACUUGACAUGUACUUCAGCAGAUACAUUUGUACUGGAAAUUUAGGGAUUUUAGGAAUACCUUCCAAUACAUUUUUUUAGACAAAGUUGGCUAUGUUUUCUGAUGGGAAGUUAAAGUCAACAGUUAUAGUAGUAACAGAUGGCCAAUAGAGACGACCUGUUCAUAAACUGAACAAAAAUAUAAAUGCAACAUGCAACAAUUUCAAAGAUUUUACUUAUAUUUUCCUCAUAUAAGGAAUUCAGUCGAUUGAAAUGAAUUCAUUAGGCCCUCAUCUAUGGAUUUCACAUUACUGGGAAUACAGAUAUGCAUCUGUUGGUCACAGAUACACAACAUGAACAAAAGUAUGUGGACACCUGUUCGUCGAACGUGUCAUUCCAAAAUCAUGGGCAUUAAUAUGAAGUUGGUCCCCCCUUUGCUGCUACAACAGCCUCCACUCUUAUGGGAAGGCUUUCCACUAGAUGUUGGAACAUUGCUGCGGGGGCUUGCUUCCAUUCAGCCACAAGAGCAUUAGUGAGGUCGGGCACUUAUGUUGGGCGAUUAGGCCUGGCUCGCAGUCGGCGUUCCAAUUCAUCCCAAAGGUGUUCGAUGGGGUUGUGGUCAGGGCUCUGUGCAGGCCAGUUAAGUUCUUCCACACCGAUAUUGACAAACCAUUUCUGUAUUGACCUCGCUUUGUGCAUGGGGGUAGUGUCAUGCUGAAACAGGAAAGGGCCUUUCCCCAAGUUCCCAGUUGUCUUGAACUCAUUGAAGUCAGAUUUCCCAGUCGAAGUUAAGUUGUUUUGAGCGCAGCACAAAUCAUGCUUCAUUGACAGCAUGGCCAAUGUUGAAUGUUUAUAAUUUUAAUCUUGGAUAAGAGACCCUGAAACUCAGACUUGGAACCACACAGUCACUCCACUGAAUAGCAGGCUAGUGAUUGCUUUGCAAUGCUUGCAGUUAGCUACUGAUUCCUUCCAAACCACUCAUUGUUGAAUUUGCAACUUCCGAUUUGUUGUGUAAUGUUGAUGUCCAAUGGUUGAUGGUUGAUGAGCACCGAUAUGUUUUAUCUAUACAUUCUCUUCAUUAUUUCCCUUCAUAUGACAAGGAUUAAAAAAAGAUUUGCCAGUAGAUUGUCAACUUGAUUCAGGAUGAUGACUGCGAGCUAAGAUUUUGAAAGUAUGUUGACAUGAUCAGUCCAAUCAAAGGUACUGUAGAUAUAACAUGAUUUGACAUAAUUUUAUCUGUGGCCAAUGACCUUGAGCCUUCUUGGAUGGGCUCUUCUAAUGUAACUCUAUGGCAGCACACAAGGGGCUUGAAUUGUUGAGCUCUACCCUUAGACUUGGUGGUGACGUAGUGUCCCCAUGAGUGACAGAACACUGAGCCAAUCACGGCGCAACUAGAGAACAUUACCAACCCCUACGCUACGUAAACUCAGCUAAAAAAGAAACGUCCUCUCACUGUCAACUGUGUUCAUUUUUAGCAAACUUAACAAGAUUCAACAACUGAGACAUAAACUGAACAAGUUCCACAGACAUGUGACUAACAGAAAUGGAAUAAUGUGUCCCUGAACAAAGGGGCGGGGGGGGGGGGUUCAAAAUCAAAAGUAACAGUCAGUAUCUGGUGUGGCCACGAGCUGCAUUAAGUACUGCACUACAUCUCCUUCUCAUGGACUGCACCAGAUUUGCCAGUUCUUGCUGUGAGAUGUUACCCCACUCUUCCACCAAGGCACCUGCAAGUUCCCGGACAUUUCCUGGGGCAAUGGCUCUAGCCCUCACCCUCUGAUCCAACAGGUCCCAGACGUGCUCAAUGGGAUUGAGAUUAGGGCUCUUCGCUGGCCAUGGCAGAAUACUGACAUUCCUGACUCACGCACAGAAUGAGCAGUAUGGCUGGUGGCAUUGUCAUGCUGGAGGGUCUUUUCAGGAUGAGCCUGCAAGGGUACCACAUGAGGGCGGAGGAUGUCUUCCCUGUAAUGCACAGCGUUGAGAUUGCCUGCAAUGACAACAAGCUCAGUCCAAUGAUGCUGUGACGCACCGCCCCAGACCAUGACGGAACCUCCACCU
ensembl:lncRNA